CCGAAUUGUUGACACGAGUUGUUGCUGGUCCUCAAAUGGGGGCAUGUGCACGCUCUGUUUACACAUCCACUCACACCUGUGCACCCACUGUAGUUCUAUGGCCUGGGGGGCUCCGUCCCUUUUGCCGUGGUUCUAUGUCUUUUACAUACACGCUGUAAUAAAGUUUCACGGAAUGCAUCGUGCGUUUAACGCAAUAUAAUA
rnacentral:misc_RNA from 1 species